GAUGAACGCUGGCGGCGUGCCUAAUACAUGCAAGUAGAACGCUGAAGGAGGAGCUUGCUCUUCUGGAUGAGUUGCGAACGGGUGAGUAACGCGUAGGUAACCUGCCUGGUAGCGGGGGAUAACUAUUGGAAACGAUAGCUAAUACCGCAUGACAACAGUUAUUGCAUGAUAACUGUUUAAAAGGGGCAACUGCUCCACUACCAGAUGGACCUGCGUUGUAUUAGCUAGUUGGUGAGGUAACGGCUCACCAAGGCGACGAUACAUAGCCGAGCUGAGAGGGUGAUCGGCCACACUGGGACUGAGACACGGCCCAGACUCCUACGGGAGGCAGCAGUAGGGAAUCUUCGGCAAUGGACGGAAGUCUGACCGAGCAACGCCGCGUGAGUGAAGAAGGUUUUCGGAUCGUAAAGCUCUGUUGUAAGAGAAGAACGAGUGUGAGAGUGGAAAGUUCACACUGUGACGGUAUCUUACCAGAAAGGGACGGCUAACUACGUG
rnacentral:rRNA from 1 species